ACGGAACAGCCAGAGCGGGGAAUGUGCUGAGCUAAGGUGUUCAGCAGGACUCAGCAUUAGGACAUGUGGAGGGAGAAGGUACCAAGUACUUCUAAGUCUUAGGAGGAAGACCAGAGGGUUCUAGACUAUUAGAGGAAAGCAAAAACUCAUGAAUAUGUCGAUUUCCUUUUGCCUGCAAGAUGUAGAACACUGGACUAUUUCUCCAGCACCAUGCCUGCCUGCAUGCUGCCAUGUUCCCCGCCAUGGAAGAUUGACCCUCUGAACUGAUAAUGACUGGAGAAAACAGCAAAGGAUGCCUCACAAGGGUGGAAACCUUGGGUGACAUUAUGCUCAAAUCAAAGCCUCACUCUUCUCCUGGUCAGCCCUGGACCCUCCCUGGCAUCAUCUGAGGAUGUGGGAUGUCAGAUAUCUACCAUCACCUGCCUUCCUUGGUGGCGUUCCAAUAAAAAGCAGUAACCGCC
rnacentral:lncRNA from 1 species